rnacentral:lncRNA from 1 species
GAAGAAAAGAAGAACAAAAACCCUAGGUGCAAAAUUCAAGGGAAAAGUGUGAAAAUUCAAAGAAACAAGUGAAAAAAGGUAAGAUUUUUCAAUUCUAGCUUGUGAUCUACCUUUCUUAAGCAUUUUUUUUUAUUUUUCAUGGUUGAAUCACAUGAUUUCAUGAGGAUACCCAUGCUGACCGAACACUUAGAUGGAGGUUUUGAUGCUUGAUUUGGUUAGAUUUCAAUGAAUUUUAGUGUUUUUAGUUAGUUAGUGAUGUGUAGCAUGAAAAUCAAGUAAAAAAAUUCAUGUUCUUCCAUCACCCAUCAUUGGUUGAAUUCUCCAUGUGAAAUAUUGAUGAUGAUUUUGAUUUUAUUUCAAGUGAUUUUGUUAGGAAUUAGUGAUUUAUGGUGUGAGAAUCAAGCUUGAAAAAUUAUAGUGUUGAUGCACCCACUAUGGCCGAAUUUUUCCAAGAGAAAAUGUGAGGAUGAUUUUGCCAUAUUUGAAGUUAUUUAAUUUGUGUUUGAUGAUUUGAAGUAUUGGGAGAAAAAUGGAAUUAAAUGGAGUUAAAUUGGACAUAUUGGCCAAUUAAUCGGGUGAUAGAUCGAAUUAGGCUAAUACUGUUUUAUUUAGGUACACAAUUGAAUUUGUGUAGAACACCGUGUUUAGACGAUAAUCCGAACAAUUUGCAUCCCAUUUCAUACAUUAGUAUAGAGCCUGAAUUGGUUUUAUAACAAUUUAGCAUAAAUGUAGUAAAUGGCUUAUUGUGCAUUAUGUCUAGAUGGUGAGCAUUCUGGCCAAAGUAAAGAGAUAGUACUCGAGGAUCAAGAAUCGGAGUACUUGAAAUUCGACUUUUAAAAUAGUGAGUAACCUUACUAUCGUCUUAAUUAUCUAAAGUGGUUUUUAUCUGAUUUCGUGAUUUUAUGGAAAAUGAGUUUAAAUGGUAGAUUUUUACGUUUUAUAAACAAAAUGUGUUUAAAUGAAAUGAUUUUAUAAAUUGUCUUGAAAUUAAAUGAUGGCUUUGAAAAUAGAGUAAUUGGAGACCAUUUGAUGUAUUGUGAAUUUAUGGUUCUAAUUGAUUGGCUUAUGGCAAUAUUGGCAUGAAUGACUGAAUUGGUAUUUGUGUUGUAAAUGUAUAAACUGUUGUUUGCUUUGAUAGGCUGGAUAAUGAUAAAAUUGCCAUGUCAUGCAGUUAAAUUUUAUUGAAUUUGUGGGUUAUUGAUUAAUCGCUGCAGUGGACGGGUUUUCGUGAACCAGCAUAUUAAAGGGGCACGGUACCCUUAUUAUAUUAUUACCUCGGUCGGAUAGGCGUGUAGGGUAACUCUCGAAGUACACUUUUAGAGUUCACUUCAUGCCAAACCACCACGUGAGGGUGAACUCAGCCAACGCCAAGGAACGGUUAUGUUUUCAAAAUAAAAAUAUGUUUAUGUGUAAACGAAAUUUUUAACUACCUUGGCGGACUCGGUUGGGAUAGCCCUCUGCUAAGGUAUCCCUGAUAACUGAGUAUAAGAAUAAUUUUGGCACUAGCCAAAGCUUUUAAAAAAUUUAUAAGCCAUGUUGACUACUCGAUUUAUAUGAAUUGAUUUUAUUUGGUUUAAAUGAGUUGAAAGGUGAUGAAUUACAAUAUGUUAAACUAUUUUAUCUGUCUCCAUUUACUCAGCUUUAGAUAUUUUAGAUGUAUUUGUUUACUCACUGGGAUUAUAUAAUCUCAUCACCCUCCUUUCCACCCAUUUUAGGCUUAGGAUAGUCGGUAGAUAGCUCACUUUGUUGAGGGCUACAGUUGAACUUGCAUCCUCAAAAACUGUAGGUUUACCGCUUUUGAUACUUUUGGUCAUUCGUGAGUUCACGUGUCACUGUAAAUUAAAUUUUAUACUUUGGUUAUCUGUAUUACAGUAUGUAUGAAUUUAUUUAGCUUUUGUAGCAAUGAAUUUAUUUAGCUUUUAUGCUACAAAAAUUAUUUACUGGUAAUUCUAUAAAUAUUGUUUUAUAAAAAAAUAGAAUAUUUUAUUGAAUGUUUUUAUUAUAUACAAAUAGUUUUAAUUUUACUUUAAAUGAAUGUUUUAAACAUCUAAACUUAUUUUUGAUUAUGAAAUAUGUGUUUUUCACUCGCAUACUACAUUUUUGGCUGGUUUCGAGACUUUCGAGAAAAAAUGACAAGAAUACCCCUGUGAGACAAAAAUUAUUUUUCUAUCGUUUUGAUUUGAAAAUAGUUUAUAAUCUCUCAAAGCAUGAUAUUUAACAACUGUUGCUCACAGGGGAGCUGAGAAAAAACUGAUAUAAAAGCCUUGUGAGGUUUCGGUCGGUAUUUCAAGCGAUGAAUGUCUAUCGGGACAUCACGACGAUUGUCACAAGCUCGAAAGGAGUACCGGGUCAUGACAUGUGACCAUUAGAGCACUGAUCUAACGCUAGUUGCAACCAGAUCCGAUCGUUGGAGCAUUGAUCUAACACUGGUUACGAUUAGAUUUGGCUAUUGGAGUAACAAUUUGAUCACAAGAAGUGCCAAAUCUAGUGACACCAUUAGGUAUAUCAACGUUUCAACAACCA